AUUGAACGCUGGCGGCAUGCCUUACACAUGCAAGUCGAACGGUAACGGGCCUUCGGGUGCCGACGAGUGGCGAACGGGUGAGUAAUGUAUCGGAACGUACCUUUCAGUGGGGGAUAACGUAGCGAAAGUUACGCUAAUACCGCAUAUUCUGUACGCAGGAAAGCAGGGGAUCGCAAGACCUUGCGCUGAUUGAGCGGCCGAUAUCAGAUUAGCUAGUUGGUGAGGUAAAGGCUCACCAAGGCGACGAUCUGUAGCGGGUCUGAGAGGAUGAUCCGCCACACUGGAACGGAGACACGGGCCAGACUCCUACGGGAGGCAGCAGUGGGGAAUUUUGUACAAUGGGGGCAACCCUGAUCCAGCCAUGCCGCGUGAGUGAAGAAGGCCUUCGGGUUGUAAAGCUCUUUCGGCCGGGAAGAAAUCGUAUCAGCUAAUACCUGGUGCGGAUGACGGUACCGGCAUAAGAAGCACCGGCUAACUACGUGCCAGCCGCCGCCGUAAGAC
rnacentral:rRNA from 1 species